UACGGGGGGAGCAAGCGUUGUUCGGAUUUACUGGGCGUAAAGGGCGCGUAGGCGGCCACCGCAAGUCGACUGUGAAAUCUCCGGGCUUAACCCGGAAAGGUCAGCCGAUACUGCGGGGCUAGAGUGCAGAAGGGGCAACUGGAAUUCUCGGUGUAGCGGUGAAAUGCGUAGAUAUCGAGAGGAACACCUGCGGCGAAGGCGGGUUGCUGGGCUGAUACUGACGCUGAAGCGCGAAAGCUAGGGUAGCAAACGGG
rnacentral:rRNA from 1 species